GUGCUUGCUUCAGCAGCACAUAUGCUGAAAUUGGAACAUACAGAGAUUAGCAUGGCCCCUGAGCAAGGAUGACACACAAAUUCGUGAAGCAUUCCAUAUUUUU